rnacentral:lncRNA from 1 species
GUGGGGAUGUGGAAGAAAGGGUAGACACUUUCUGCCUAUGGGGCUGACUCUAUAUGGGGAGGUCAGACAUAAACUUCUGCUUGGGGAAAUAUGUAUCACCAAAUAGCAGGAGAUAACAAAUAAAGAUAUAUGGCAAAGAAUGCAACAUGAAUAUCUGAAUGUUGUAAUUAUGCAUGUAUAUGUGUGGUUUAUGUAUGAUUAAUGCUGACAAACA